GUUGGCGGCCUGAUACCGCACAGAGCGCCCGCCUCGCCAGUUAGUGUUGGGCAAGCUAUCGGAACUGACGUACGUCGCGUUUUUUUUAUUCCUUUUUAUGUUGAAGGUGAUUCCUUCUGUUUCGUGUUGACGACGUUCUACCUCUGCAACAGGAAAUCAAGUAACACCUACGGCCGAUCAUAUCCUUGAGAUGAGCGGUAAACGGCGAAAUUGUGUAGGGUGCUAUGAAAAACUGCGGGAAACCAUGAAGAGUUCCGAGGUGAAAAGGAGUAAAAAAAAUUAAAACAUACUGCAGAAUGUGCAAGCAAAAUCUUUGUGCGAAAUGUUUUAAAGACAGCCAUUAAUAAAUAAUUAAAUAAACAAUUUUUAUUUCUUUACUUUAA